GUCAGGCCCUUAUGUGGGAGGUGGGGAUUGUCCACGGAGAUCUGUGGCCACGUGGGGAGAGUUCUGGCAUCUGACAAUGUGUGUGGCAAGGGUCCAGCAAAACACUCUGGCCAGGGAAAAAGGACUCUGGGUUCUCGCGAGACCCGUCCAGACCGUGGCCUUCUUCCCAGGAGGGUGUGUGAACCGUCUCUGUGGCCCUCGAAGUCGCGAAGGAGAGUCUGCUCAGGGGUGAGCAUCCCUUCGAGAUAAUUCAGUGGCUGCCCUACUUUCAGCUUUACCAAGAUAGGAUGCUUAAGAAUUAAGAGGGAAAAAUACAUGACUUUGCUUUAAAGUGAGAUCAAGAAGCAAUUGUUUUCCAUCUUUCUUCCUGGGAAAGGAGACUGACUGUUCCUGAGACAGCUCUUGUCUUCUCUGCACAUCUUUUGACACAGAUUGAAUCGUGGCACCCAGCCCACAGGCUCAUCUCGUGACAUUGGUCCAUGGGGGUACUACAGCUUUUUCACUACAGUGAAAGAACAUUUUCAAUAAGUACUAAAGAUUGGGCCACAUUGGCCGGUUUGGAAACUGUGAUGAUCAAGGGAAGGAAUGGAAAGGAAAGAAGUGCUCCGGAGGCCCCCAAAAGCACUUUGGCACACACCAAUGCAGCCAGACGAUGAAUAACACAGUGGGAGUGCAUGGCUAAGUAGGUCCUAUUUUUGUGUUGUUCAAUAACA